rnacentral:lncRNA from 1 species
ACCAAGAUCCAGAGGCAUCCUCAGAGAAGGGGCCUGUAACAUGUGAAGAAAAUAGGAAGUUGCAGUAAACAAGACUAUACAGUGCAACUGCUUUAUCAGUUUGUGGACAGAGAUUAAAUUGUGUUUGAAAUAAGGAACAAACAACACAUUAUGAAGUGUGAUGAAUGGGGUUAAAUCAAAAGAUCCAGUGGAGGUCACUUUCACUUUGUAUCCAUUGGGAAGUGUUACAAGAUAAGGUACAGUCAAGGGUGUGAUAUCAAAGAGUAAAGCUUUAUUAGAUGUCAU